AAGUCGUAACAAGGUUUCCGUAGGUGAACCUGCGGAAGGAUCAUUACCGAAAAGUAAAAAAAAACCAAGCUCGUGAUGGUGCAAGUUUAGGUGCGUGUAGUAUGGAUUCGCGCUCUUGCCCUCAUGUUGCAAAAAGACAAGUUUUUGGCUGAAAUGGAUCUUGCGUUUUGGGGCAGUCUCUCGGGGCUGUUCCGGGCGUGAGAGCUGAUGGUCAAAAACUUUUCAUAAGUCUUCUGUUGUUCAUGCCCUCGCGGGGGCAUGGCUCAGGAGCAGAGCCUAAAAAUUUUGAAAACAAGAUAAAAAGAUAAAAAGACGUAAAAAUUAACCUCGUGUGGUGGAUCACUUGGCUCGUGG
rnacentral:misc_RNA from 1 species